rnacentral:lncRNA from 1 species
UUUUUCUUUUUUUUGUCUUUUGUCUUUUUAGGGCCGCACCCAAGGCAUGUGGAGGUUCCCAGGCUAGGCGUCAAAUUGGAGCUGUAGCUGCAGGCCUAGGCCACAGGGAUCAGAGCCGAGUCUGCGACCUAUACCACAGCUCACGGCAAUGCCAGACCCUUAACCCACUGAGCGAGGCCAGGAUUGAACCUAAGUGCUCAUGGAUACUAGUUGGGUUUGUUAACCACUGAGCCACAGCGGGAACUCCCUUGUAAUUUUAUUUUUGAUUUUGUGAGGAACCUGCAUACUGUUUUCCCUAGCAGCUGCCUCAUUUUACAAUCCACCAGUAGUGCACAGGGUUCCAGUUUCUUUACAGCCUUGCCAACACUUAAAAAAAGACAGGGGUUCCCGUCAUGGCUCAGUGGUUAACGAAUCCUACUAUGAACCAUGAGGUGGCAGGUUCAAUCCCUGGCCUUGCUCAGUGGGUUAAGGAUCUAGCGUUGUAGUGAGCUGUGCUGUAGGUCACAGAUGCGGCUUGGAUCUAGCAUUGCUGUGGCUCUGGCAUAGGCUGGCGGCUACGCUCCAAUUUGACCCCUAGCCUGGGAACCUCCAUAUGCAAUGGGUGUGGCCCUGAAAAGACAAAAACAAAAAAACAAACAAACAAAAAAAACAGAAGAGUAGCCACACUAUCUGGUAUGAGGUGAGAGUUCAUUGUGGUUUUGAUUUGCAUUACUUUGAUAACUGUGAUGUUGAGCAUCUUUUCAUUUGUAUAUCAUCUUUGGAGAAAUAUCUAUUCAAGUCCUUUACCCAUUUUUUAAUCAGGUUAUUUGAUUUUUUUGUUGUUGACUUCUCAAAUCCUGAUGUGUGGUUUCCACAGUAGUCAGUAAGGGACAGGGUAUUCACAACAGUUGCACAUGUUAACUGAGGAAAUUGUGCAGUAUUAAUUCAUAUUACUUUAAAUUUGUGAUAUGAUGGUCUAGCACUAACAUGCAUGAAGCACGAAAAUGAUUAUUUUGGUAAGUAGGCAGACAGCAUGAUAGAAUUGUGAAAAGUUUCUUUUCUAUCAAAGUAAGUAAUAAGGUCUAAUCAAAAUUCAACAUUUGUAUUGCUAUCAGCUUUAAUUAUCAAAUUUAAACUAUUAUGUUCAUUAUUAAGAAUUUAUAUUUUGCCUUUUAUCAUUUUGAAUGUAUUAGGAGGAAAGUGAUAUUCUGGAAACAUGAAAAGUAACUUUAUGUUUUUGAUUUUUACAUGUACUUUAGUUUACACUUUGGUAAAAUAAAUAUUCCUACAUUUUGUAUAGUUACACUUUAAAUGCAAUUACAUUUUAUUAAAAUUUUUCUAAUAUGAAUAGAACACAAAUUAUGUAAAAAUACUGACUGUAACUACAUCAUUAAUGACUCGGCCAAAGUGAAAGCGAGAAAGUAAUUUGUGAAAAAAAUAUUUAUAAUAAUGAAGUAUGCUUGCAUUUAUUAUUCAUCCAAAUAAUACUGACCCCUGGAUAUGUCCAAUAAGAACUAAAUUCCAUCAUAUUAGAUAUCUUACAAACUUUCAGUCAUACCAUACAAAAAACCCCAUACCUUGAAGUUCCCAUUAUGGCUCAGAGGAAAUGAAUAUAACUAGUAUACAUCAGCACACAGGUUCCAUCCCUGGUCCUGCUCAGUGGGUUGGGGAUCUGGUGUUGCCUUGAGCUGUGGUGUAGGUGGCAGAUGUGACUUGGAUCUGGCAUUGCUAUGGCUAGAGCGUAGUCUGGAAGCUGUAGCUCUGACUCAACCCUUGGCCUGAGAACUUCCAUAUGCUGCGGGUGCAGCCUUAAAAAGACAAAAAAAAAAAAAAAAAAAGAAAAAAAAAAANAAAGGAAACCAUACCCUGAGGCAUACUUUAAAAAUUUUGUUAUGAAGAUAUUCUUGAGAUAAAUAUAUGAAAUAUUUUAUAUAACAGUAUUAACAGAUUUAUAUCUUUUAAAUCUCUCUCUAUAUAUGUAUCUAUAUAUCAAGGUGGUAUAUAUUUCCCUCUGCUUUGCAAAUGCCAAGUGUAGCCUUAUACUUUUGUGCCUCUAACCAUGGUAGAAGGUGAGCUAGAGGAUAAAACAAUGGCUAGCAUUUACUGAGCACUUACGGUAGGCCAGGCACUGUGCUAAGUGCUUACACACACUAUCUCAGCAAAUCCAACAAUAACCGAUUUUAUAGAUUUAAAAACUGAGUCUCAGAUGGCCCAUGUGCUUUGCAUGAGGCCACCCUGCUAGUUAGUGGCUGAGCUGGGGACCAUGUCUUAUCCACCCAACUCCAAAAUCAGAACUUCUAACCUGAGCCUCACAAACAUAGGUUUGUCCUGAGGGAACCAGUAUGUAGUUCCUGCAGGGGUACCGAGCAGGAUCCUCAGAGUUUCAUUUUCUUUCAUUUUGGCCCAAGGCAGAAAAUUUGUUAGCUGUAUCUGAUUGUUCACCUGGGGACUCCACAGAACAAGGACUCACCCAGGUCCUAUUCAUCUAGGCCUGUCUCUCACUCAGUCUUAGGGGCUGGCCCUAGGGAGGGGUUCCACAUGGCUGCAGCAAGUGGCUUUUAUGCUCAGAUCUGCCAAAGCUGGUGUCUUUCUUUUCCUCUGUUCUCUUUUGUGCCUGGGCUUCAAAUCUCCCAGGGCCAAGAUGAAACACUGUUUCAUCCUCCUCCCAUGUGUGAAGAAGAAUAAAAGAUAGCUCUUCUUGGCUC